AUAAACCAUUACUGUUAGGAGUAGAAGCUGGAAAAAGGCGAAAACGGUUAGAGGAGCGACACGUUAGUAGUAGAUUAUAGGAUACUUCGCAUGAUGGGGGGGUAGUCUCAAGCAAAGUAGCUUUCACGUCUACAGAUAGCGAGCAACUAGAAUUUUUGGGAAGCCAAGAUUUCGGUUUGUAGUAUAUGCGAAGGCGAAGAGCAUUAUCAUUAAAGGUUGAAAAUUGAGGAGGAAAAGGGGACCAGUGAUAAGUCUCCAUGUUAGUAGCGUCAUUCAAAGAGCGAGAAACACCUUUGUUGUAAGGAUUUAGGACUUCAGCAAUAGAUUGUGACAUUGACUCUUUGGAAACAGUAUGAUCCCAACCUAAAUGUAAGUCAGAAGAGGGACUGUCCGAUUUUAGAUUAUCAAAAGAAAGAAUCGUCUCAAAUGGUGACGGUAAAAACAUUAAAGGAAUAUACUGUUCAAACGUCACAAAGUCACGAAGCACUGGGAUGUGAAUUUCUAGCACGAUGUUUACUUUCGAGACAGUCGUUGUAUCCAGGAAUGUUAAAACGAGAUUAUUCUGAUGUAUUUGUAGCUUUAUAUCGGCGGUAUCUGAUUUUACAAACGUUUCUGGCCGAGCACAAAAAUCAUUGUCGGGAGUUUUUAAAAGGGAGGAAGAAGGAGGAGGGGAGGAACUAGGGUCAGAAGAACUACUGGAAAUGGAAAUAAUAGAUGGUUCCUUUGGUUGCUCAUCGGUAGUCGACAGAGUAGGAAAUAAUUCGUCGAAGCAAUCAACACUAAAAAAACUGGGAGAUGCAGUAAAACCGUUUUCGUCAUUUACGCGAGCGCUAAUUUGGGAAGUUUCACGCUUUAAAAAAACUGUGGAUGGGCCAUGCAGAGAAUGUAAACGGGCUCGCAGAGAACAGAUGGUGAAGGAGCAUGGAGACAAAGUUAGGAAGGGUAAAGAGAUAUUAGAUUUUUGCGCAAUGGGUAUAAUUGUGUAGUUUAAGCGAAACUGAGAAAUGAAUUUGUCGGACAAGGAGCCAUGCGCUUCAAGGCUUAAGGAAUGAAAAUCAUUGUUGGCGCUAGAAGGGGAAGGGAAAUGAGAAGACGAGGACGGUGGGGUCAUAGUGAAAAAUAAAAAAGAAGCGCAAAUCAAAUCAGCAAAUGAAUUGAAAAGCAGGUAAACGAGCACUUUAUUUCAUGUAAUGAAUGAAUAAUGAAGGAAAAAGGAAAUACUUCAUGAGCUGCAUACAAAUGGGUUUAGGAAGAAAAGAGAUGUAAAAAGAAAGAAAUGAUGUGGUACUGGAGAUCAGGCAAGACAAAGAAGCAAUCAGUAUAGCACAUGUAAACAAAGAAAGAGCCAGCAGAUGAUGGAAUGGAAACAGCAGCAAUAAACAGCCAAAAAUAAGAAAAGAAAAGGAAAAGAAAGAUUGAAUAAAAAAAAUGGGGUGUAUGCAGGGGGAAUGAAACAAAAACAAGUGGGUGAAGACGAGGCCGACCGAAGAUUGGUAGGUGGGCAGUGGGUAGAUGGAUAGUAGGCGAUAGGAAGUAACGAGAAGGUGAAACUGAAAGAAAUAGAAAAACAAUGAUUUUUUAUUUUAUUUUAUUGGUUUUUAGUUCUGGUGGUUUUUUCUCUUCUAGCUAAUCCCUUUUAAGCGUAUUUCUUUUGUUUACAUGGGCUGCAUUUACCCGAUACAAUUAUAAUAUGAACACACCUGGCCUGCUUACGACAAUGAGCAGCGAUGAUCUCGCUAUGAUUCGUUGUGUAAAAUAACGAUGUCAUUCAACAACUUUUAAUACUAUUGCAUGUUUAGCGAGGAUUAGCAGCAACAGAAAUCCUAGACAAGGACAGCGUAGUGAAAGAUUAUCGUUAUAGGGAUAGAGAGGGAUGCAAAGGGUCGUGCUGACAAAGGAUGGACGAUUUGGUUCAAUGGAAGAGAUUGUUUACUUGUACUAAGUGAAAAAAACAAAAAGCAAAGGAAAAUUCUUUUUCAAAUUUUAUACAAUGGUUGCUUAGCAAAACUUUUUUUUGUUUUCUAUCUCUCCAACGAUUCCAAUCUCGAAUCCUUACGCUUUCUUGAAUGACUCCAAUCUUUCAAAUACUUUAUCUGGUCGGGUUGUUUUAUAACUGUUGAACGAAUUGAUGAACGAUUAUUUCUUUUAUUUCUCUUUCAUCUUCUCACCCAAGCCUAUCACAUUAGCGGGAUUGCUGAAAAAUCAUGUGUUUACACUUCCACGUGCUAAUUUCCUUUCAUCCCAGCCCAUUCCAUUUAUUCCACUACAAACCUUGACCAUGUAAACAUUGAGAAACGAUUGGGUUGAAGGACAAUUGGGUUCUGUUUGUAUCAACAACAACAGUUUUUCCUCUAGUAACCAACGACCAACAAAAUGCCUGAACAUAGAACCGGUGUGAAUAAGCAAAGUUGGCGAAAUGAACAAAACAACGUUGCGCAAACCAAUAAUUGCACUUUGCUACUGUCAAGUGAUGCGCAACAUUCAUUUACUCAUCAACAUCGUUAUGAUAAGUGUAUUGCACUUUUAUCAAACAAGUUUUGCAAUUUAGUAUGCGCAUUUCAGAGAAAAUUCAUGCUAUAGCAAACUCAUGUUGAAUAACAAAAAUACGCACAAAGCAAGGCCCAUUACUUUCUUGUAACACUCUAUUUUUGGGGCCUUUACAACCCGAGAAAUAGGAUCAAUCGAUCAUCCUUCACUAGCCUUGUCACUUGCCUUCCGUGUGUAAUACCAACGGAACUCAUUCUCCGGUAGGAAUGUACUUCUGCUGCCUUCAUAGUCGCUACUGCGCAGACCGAAAAAAUCCGAAAAUUCUUUAAAUAGCGAGAGCGAGUGUAUUUGCGGAAAUAAGCUUAACAAUUGAUGAUGGAACACGGAAACUAAGCUUAAACGAAUACAGUCACUAUCGUUAUAGCGGGUCAGAAAGGUUGCAGGCAGAGAAAGUAAAUGCGUUAGACUGAGUAUAGAAAAGUAUAGUAGACAAGGCAUUUUGGACAGGCAAGGCAUGUCGGACACAUGUGUAAUAAUAAGGCAUAAACAGUUUUAAUUUUUAAGAGUAGAAUUUAUUACAAAAGGACUUUUAAGUAAUUUUCUUUUUAACCAACAAUAGGACUC